GUUUUAAUAGUUUAAUAAAAACAUUGGUCUUGUAAAUCAAAAUUAAGAAUAUAUUCUUUUUAAACA
rnacentral:tRNA from 1 species